rnacentral:tRNA from 1 species
GGGCCUAUAGCUUAGAGGAUUAGAGCACGUGGAUACAAACCACGGUGUCGGGGGUUCGAAUCCCUCCUCACCCA